AAGCGGAGGAAAAGAAACUAACAAGGAUUCCCCUAGUAACGGCGAGUGAAGCGGGAAGAGCUCAAAUUUGAAAUCUAGUAGCCUUCGGCUGCUCGAGUUGUAAUCUAGAGAAGUGUUUUCCGUGCCGGCCCAUGUACAAGUCCCUUGGAACAGGGCGUCAUAGAGGGUGAGAAUCCCGUCCUUGACAUGGACCCCCGGUGCUCUGUGAUACACUUUCAACGAGUCGAGUUGUUUGGGAAUGCAGCUCAAAAUGGGUGGUGAAUUCCAUCUAAAGCUAAAUAUUGGCGAGAGACCGAUAGCGAACAAGUACCGUGAGGGAAAGAUGAAAAGCACUUUGGAAAGAGAGUUAAACAGUACGUGAAAUUGUUGAAAGGGAAACGAUUGAAGUCAGUCAUGCUCUUUGGUAUUUAUAUCAUUGAGUGGGGUCAACAUCAGUUUUGAUCGAUGGAUAAAGGCACUAGGAAGGUAGCACUCUCGGGUGAACUUAUAGCCUAGCGUCAUAUACAUUGAUUGGGACUGAGGAACGCAGCAUGCCUUUAUGGCCGGGAUUCGUCCACGUACAUGCUUAGGAUGUUGACAUAAUGGCUUUAAACGACCCGUCUUG
rnacentral:rRNA from 2 species